rnacentral:lncRNA from 1 species
CAAGUAUUAGAAAACCUCAGGCGUUGCUUUAGGGGGUAGGGUCUCUAACCGCACUGAACUUCUUGGAUUUCUUACCUGCCCCAGGAACAGAGAAUGGAUUAUAGGUGGGACUCUGGCACCACGGACUCAGGUAAGGCUGCUGGCCCAUGGCGUGCACAUAAAAAAAGGGUCUGGCGUUACUGCCCUCGAAAUGUACGUUUUCUGAAGAGGCGUUCAUGUCCUAGGCUGAAAGACAGGUGUUCAUAUUUAGGAAGGGGCAGUCGCACUCAAGUGCCAUACAGUACAGUUAACGGAGAAGUUCUCCUGUUUCCCUUUCAGAAUUCCAAGUCUGGGUGGAAGGGUCCUCACCUCUUCUGGCUGGCCUGGGAUCGCGGACACAGGGCUGCGCGGCGUUGGGGACCCGGGCAGCGUUGCCCACAAGCCCGAGCCGCAUCUCUCACAAACAAGUCUCGGCUCCCCCAAGCAGCAGCAGCAGCAGCACUGAGUGAAGACUGAGGCCAGGAGAGAACUUGCCGCAGCGCCUCAAACGUGACGGGCUGUGCCCAGGAGCUCCACUCCAGGGCCAUCACUUAGGCCUGGCCUGCAGCGCCCUCGUCCUCAGCCUCUCGGGCGUGCCCACCGCGCCCCUUCCCCGGUCCAGAGGAGCCCAUCCCGGGGGAGCCAGCCUCUCUUUACCCACGACUCACACCCCACUCCCUGUCCUGCAAGUCAGUCGCCUCCACUCCCUCGGCACCCAACCCCACCACUCACCGUGUUCGGUACGCCCACCUGCUCUAAGCCAACCUCCACAACCCGGAACGUCUCUGACACCUGGGCCUUGGCUCCCACUUUCAUAGGCUCCGCGGGCUGUGCGGGCCUCCCACAGACGGCUCACGCAUGCGCCCUGUGCGAGGAUCGGAACCUGACUGCUCCUCCCAAGGACACCUGGAGAAGCCUUGGAGCAGUUUUCGGCACCGUGCUCGCUCCGGCGCCUGGACGCCCUGGUGUUGGCGCUUCCAGAGGACGGAAUUUGCCGUGGGUGAAACAGAAGAAAGAUUUUUCUCUCACAUGAAGAACUCUGGAGGUAGACUGCCUGAGUGCUGGUUUGGUGGUGUCUUGGCAUCACAAAGUACCCAAUGUCUUCUCUUUCUACUCCAACUAAGUGCUAGGAAUUUAGCACUGAUUUCCUUCUUCAACCUGCAUCAUGAUCCAAGAUUCCUGCUCCAAGUACAAAGAUCCAUGGCCUGUGGUAUAAGAAAAACAUACAGGGGCGCCUGGGUGGCUCAGUCGGUUGAGCGUCCGACUUCGGCUCAGGUCAUGAUCUCACAGUCCGUGGGUUCGAGCCCCGCGUCAGGCUCUGUGCUGACAGCUCAGAGCCUGGAGCCUGUUUCGGAUUCUGUGUCUCCCUCUCUCUCUGACCCUCCCCUGUUCAUGCUCUGUCUCUCUCUGUCUCAAAAAUAAAUAAAACAUUAAAAAAAAAAAG